rnacentral:lncRNA from 1 species
UCAAGAAACGAAAACAAUCAGUUAUAUUUUGAAAAAAGGUUCACCAGUUUUGAUACAAAUAAAUAUUAGAGAAAACAUAUACCAAAUAGUAAAUAAUGUCUGACUGGUUUGAUGAGAGAAUCAACUUGAAUUAUACUUUUUAAAUCAUGAAUUGUUCGAUUCUAAUAACUAUGGCACAUGUUUUGUUUACGGAUGCGGGCGAAGUUAAUUCUCAAUCACCAUCUCCUCGUUGCGGCACAAGUCGUAGCCUAAGUUACAAUAUCACAGGUUUUUAUUUUAUUUUAUUUUAAUAUGAUCUUUCAAUGCAAUUCACUGCAUUUUUAUGUACAUUUCUCUGUAUAUGGUUUUUGAUAUGUUAACUGCAUCUACUAUUUUUGUUACCCAAUCACCACCUAAGAGACAUCAAAGUUUUGAGAAUUAGGACAGGUUUCUGAGCCGUGGGCCAAAUACUGAUGUGCGCUCAAGGGGCAGGAAGCACAAUCCAACACCCAAUGAAGGCAAGUCUAGCUUUUUAUUUUAUGUUUUGUUUUCUUAUUUGUAUCAAAACGACGAGUUUUGUUUUGGUUUCUUAAUGAUUGAGCAUGUUUGCUGAUUUAUCAAUUUUAUUUAUUUAUUUAUUUGUAUCUGUUUUUUGAAUUUCUUUUAGAAUUUUAUAUUUGAAGAGAUAUUCAUUCUAUGGUACUUUAUUUUGUGAAAGUUAAAAAGAAUUGGAUAUGUUUAGAAAGAACUACCAAAACUUAGGUACUGUUAAGUAAUUAAACUUAGAAAGGAAAAACUUUUAAUUUCAGAUUCAAGUAAAAUCUCAAUAUUGCAUUGCUAAAUUCGGAAUUUAAUGACUCCUAUUUGAUAUAUAUAUAUAUAUUCAUUCCCUCACUUUUAUAAAAUAGUUUACACUUUAUAAAUAAUACAAUAGGGAGAUAUUCUAUUGGCUAAUGAUCAUUUUCUCGGUACAAUCAGGGUGGAACCACCUUAUAGGAAUCACUUAGUAUUGAUAUUGAGGAUGGAAAGAACAUAUAAAUUGUUUUUUUUCUUUUCAAAAAAGCAGUUUUCAGAAAAGUAGCUAUAAAAAAAAUUAAUUAUUAAAAAACUAUGAACUUACUAUUUUCAACAUCCAACAGAAAUUCUAAAUACACAGUAAAAUUUUAAAGAUACCAAACUAUUUUUGGAAAUUUAACAUAAUUAUAAGGUUUGCCUAUAGAAUUUUUAUAAUUUAGACCUCACAGAAAUUUAAAGUUCACUCUUUAGUAGUUUUUACUUGGCCAAAUAGUUUAAAAAAUUCAAUUAUUUAUGAAAUUUUGUUAUUAUAGCUAAUUUUAUAAAAAUUAUUAAUAGCCAAUUAAAUGCAAUUUUGAUUAGAUAAUAUUUUAAUAUAAGAUUUCCAAUUAGUUCUUUGAUGUUUUAUAUUUGUUUAUCGGAUUCCACAAAUUAACUGAUAAUAUUUAAUUCAGAAGACUCAAAUUGAAAAUGUUCUUGGGGAUCUAAGUAAUAUUUAAAAAUUAAAGUUCAAGAAUUCCAAAUUGAAAAUAUUUUUGGGGAUUCAAAUAAUAUUUUCAAAAAAAUAGUCCCAAGUAAAUUGGAUAUUUGAAGAUCUAGAGUUCUAGGUUAGAAAUGUUCUUGGGAAUCCAACCCAAAAAAAAAAAGUCAUAUCCUAAAACUAAUUUCUCUAUAUAUAUCAGGCUACUAACUAAAACUUUUUUCUAGUAAUUUAAAUAAUUAUGUAUAAUUAGCCAACAAAUAAACACAAAAUCAAAUAUUUUAGGUGAAAAAUAUACUUUUUUUAACUAUUUUCUUCAGUAAACUUAGAAAGGUUUAUGUUUUUUGCAGGUGGAUAUAGUUUUUAGUAAUAACUCAAGUAUGAGGUACAAGAGUUGAGGGUACAGUUUGAAUCCAACCAAGUUGAUAUCACACCAAAAACCGAGAGAGAGCAAUCUUAGAUGGGUUGAAAUGCUUGAGCAUAUGACGUCACAGAAGAAAGCAGCAGUGAUAUAACACCGACGUUGAGCGGUGAAAAGGCUGUUGGUGGUGAUGCAAAGUGGAAAAGAAAGACGGUAAAGAGAGAAAAAUAAAAGAAAAAAAAAUGUGUGGCUUAUUUACAGCUGCAAGUGUUAAAUGCAGGAGAAACAAUGAAGCUAAAUUACAUGUGUAAUUGGCCAAUACUGACCAAAACAUGCAC